GGCACUGUGAGAUCUCGAACGGUGAAAGGGAAAUAGGUCAAAUAGACCUUUCAUCACAGACAGGUUGAAAGGGAGGACGGAAGUUAAGAAACAAAUGGAAAGCAUCAGGCGGAUGGUAGGAAGAUGGUAGGAGGCAGUCAUGCAUUCAUACUCCUGAAGCCAAGAGACUGGGCACUGGGGUCUUGAAGGAGAAGAGGGCUCAGACUAUACAGUGAGAGAAUGUCGA